rnacentral:rRNA from 1 species
UUGACCUCGGAUCAGGUAGGGAUACCCGCUGAACUUAAGCAUAUCAAUAAGCGGAGGAAAAGAAACCAACCGGGAUUACCUCAGUAACGGCGAGUGAAGCGGUACAAGCUCAAAUUUGAAAUCUGGCGCCCUCGGCGUCCGAGUUGUAAUUUGUAGACGAUGCUUUGGGCUGGGGCCCGGCCUAAGUUCCUUGGAACAGGACGUCAUAGAGGGUGAGAAUCCCGUAUGUGGCAGGUGCCCCCCGCCCGUGUAAAGCUCGUUCGACGAGUCGAGUUGUUUGGGAAUGCAGCUCAAAAUGGGAGGUAAAUUUCUUCUAAAGCUAAAUACUGGCCAGAGACCGAUAGCGCACAAGUAGAGUGAUCGAAAGAUGAAAAGCACUUUGGAAAGAGAGUUAAACAGUACGUGAAAUUGUUGAAAGGGAAGCGCUUGCAAUCAGACUUGGGGGCCGUGGAUCAUCCGGGCUUCGGGCCCGGUGCACUCGGCGGCCCACAGGCCAGCAUCGGUUUGGGUGGUUGGAGAAAGGCCCUAGGAACGUAGCUCCUCUCGGGGAGUGUUAUAGCCUAGAGCGCCAUGCAGCCUACCUGGACCGAGGACCGCGCUUCGGCUAGGAUGUUGGCGUAAUGAUUGUAAGCGACCCGUCUUGAAACACGGACCAAGGAGUCUAACAUCUAUGCGAGUGUUUGGGUGGCAAACCCAUGCGCGAAAUGAAAGUGAACGGAGGUGAGAACCCUGAAGGGUGCAUCAUCGACCGAUUCUGAUGUCU